AUAUUGUUAACUACUGUAAAAUAAUCGCUGAUUUUAAUUGUUCGCCUGUUACUUAUUUUAGCACUUCAUAGACCUGGUACAAUUUACAAAAUAUUCCGCCUUUUUUUUUUACUUAUUUACCUAUAGCUGUUUGAAUUCGUUAAGUUUCUACAAGAUAUAUAAUAAGAAAUGAUACGGAAUAAUAAGAAAAAAAAAAAAAAAAAAAACAACAGAACGAAAAGCGUUCUGCAAGAAGUGUACCAGGACAACAGGACGCAAAGCUAAAAAAAAAAAAAAAAUACAAUCUCGCAUAAAACAAUGCCGUAUGGUCACUCUAGAUUGAUAACGCGUCAAUGGCCACUUCACCAAAAGCCCC